UGCAGCAUAGGGAAGCACCAGCUUGAGAACAACUGGUGCAGUCCUUGGAUGUUAUCUGCCCACUGAAGCAUAUCUUGUCCUCGAAAACGAGCCAGGAAGCCUCACUCUGAAAACAGGGAGACCUUGAGGAUGUGUGAAAACACUGCCCCUGCUUACUGGCAGACUAAGAAAAUCAACAAGGUGCUCUGGCCUGUCCUCCCUGAGAAGGCAAAGAUGAGUAUAGCACUUGGUUGAGGUCCGAGAAAGGCAGUAUAAAAAUAAAGGUGCUGUGCCACAUCAGGGCUGUAGCCAUUGUCUGUCUAUUUGUCUGGGUUGUCUGUUUUUUGUUCUCUCAUUUCACCUGAGAAACAGAGCGGCACGCAACAUCUGGCGCCCAACGUGGGGCACGAGUGGACGACCCCACUGUGAGGCAGGACCUCACAACCCUGAAGAAAUUGGAGAGAGGAUGCCAGGGGUGACUUGGGGCUCAGAAAGGGACCGACUUCAGGAAACCAGUGUGGUUGGCUACCUAGCAAAUGCCUGAAAUUGCGCCAUGACCAAAAAUAGUAAGGAUGAAGAUUUUCUACGAGAAUUCCAAGACCUCAAUGUCAGGGCUCAGAUCCAUACUAGGGGAUCUAGACAGGCUUCAGUCCAUACCUGGGGAUAGCUAAAGAAACUCACCCAAGAAAGCGAACGUGUUGUCCUACAAGCAGGCCAAACGUUGGCACCUUUGUCUCUCUUUUUGGUGAUGAUGGCCAUUGUCACAUGUCAGUCUACUGCUGGUAGAAACGAAGAAAACAAACCAUGAAGCAAAACACUCAAGUUAUGUCUGUCUUACGACACGUUCAAUCUCAGCCAUGAAAUAUUUAAGGAAAGGAGGAGAUGAUGGGGACAGCCUUUGUCUUCUCACAUAUCUGAACACAGAAUGGGAAAGCACCUUCCCUCACUUCUGAAUGCAGCAUAGGGAAGCACCAGCUUGAGAACAACUGGUGCAGUCCUUGGAUGUUAUCUGCCCACUGAAGCAUAUCUUGUCCUCGAAAACGAGCCAGGAAGCCUCACUCUGAAAACAGGGAGACCUUGAGGAUGUGUGAAAACACUGCCCCUGCUUACUGGCAGACUAAGAAAAUCAACAAGGUGCUCUGGCCUG